GACAGAGGGGGCAAGCGUUGCCCGGAAUCACUGGGCGUAAAGGGCGCGUAGGCGGGAUGGCAAGUCAGUCGUGAAAUCUCUCGGCUCAACCGAGAAGCGUCGGCUGAUACUGCCGUUCUUGAGGGAUGCAGAGGAGACUGGAAUUCCCGGUGUAGCGGUGAAAUGUGUAGAGAUCGGGAGGAACACCGGUGGCGAAGGCGGGUCUCUGGGCACCUCCUGACGCUGAGGCGCGAAAGCGUGGGGAGCAAACGGG
rnacentral:rRNA from 1 species